rnacentral:rRNA from 1 species
CCUACGGGGGGCUGCAGUGAGGAAUAUUGGACAAUGGAUGGAAAUCUGAUCCAGCCAUGCCGCGUGCAGGAAGACGGCCUUAUGGGUUGUAAACUGCUUUUAUACGGGAGCAAUAAGGGUUACGAGUAAUCCGAUGAGAGUACUGUAUGAAUAAGGAUCGGCUAACUCCGUGCCAGCAGCCGCGGUAAUACGGAGGAUCCGAGCGUUAUCCGGAAUUAUUGGGUUUAAAGGGUGCGUAGGCGGCCAUUUAAGUCAGCGGUGAAAUUUUGCAGCUUAACUGUAACAGUGCCGUUGAUACUGUUUGGCUAGGAUUUGGUUGUAGUGUGCGGAAUGUGUGGUGUAGCGGUGAAAUGCUUAGAUAUCACACAGAACACCGAUUGCGAAGGCAGCACACUAAGUCAUUAUUGACGCUGAGGCACGAAAGUGUGGGGAUCAAACAGGAUUAGAUACCCUAGUAGUC